rnacentral:rRNA from 1 species
GACGAACGCUGGCGGCGUGCUUAACACAUGCAAGUCGAACGGAAAGGCCCUGCUUUUGUGGGGUGCUCGAGUGGCGAACGGGUGAGUAACACGUGAGUAACCUGCCCUUGACUUUGGGAUAACUUCAGGAAACUGGGGCUAUUCCCGGAAAGGACCUCCUGCUGCAUGGUGGGGGUUGGAAAGUUUCGGCGGUUGGGGAUGGACUCGCGGCUUAUCAGCUUGUUGGUGGGGUAGUGGCUUACCAAGGCUUUGACGGGUAGCCGGCCUGAGAGGGUGACCGGCCACAUUGGGACUGAGAUACGGCCCAGACUCCUACGGGAGGCAGCAGUGGGGAAUAUUGCACAAUGGGCGGAAGCCUGAUGCAGCAACGCCGCGUGCGGGAUGACGGCCUUCGGGUUGUAAACCGCUUUCGCCUGUGACGAAGCGUGAGUGACGGUAAUGGGUAAAGAAGCACCGGCUAACUACGUG